rnacentral:rRNA from 1 species
GUGGGGAAUAUUGCACAAUGGGCGAAAGCCUGAUGCAGCGACGCCGCGUGAACGAAGAAGUAUUUCGGUAUGUAAAGUUCUAUCAGCAGGGAAGAAAAAUGACGGUACCUGACUAAGAAGCUCCGGCUAAAUACGUGCCAGCAGCCGCGGUAAUACGUAUGGAGCAAGCGUUAUCCGGAUUUACUGGGUGUAAAGGGAGCGUAGGCGGUGGUUUAAGUCUGAUGUGAAAGCCCGGGGCUCAACCCCGGUAUUGCAUUGGAAACUGGAUCACUAGAGUGUCGGAGGGGUAAGUGGAAUUCCUAGUGUAGCGGUGAAAUGCGUAGAUAUUAGGAGGAACACCAGUGGCGAAGGCGGCUUACUGGACGAUUACUGACGCUGAGGCUCGAAAGCGUGGGGAGCAAACAGG